rnacentral:misc_RNA from 1 species
GCUUAGUUGAGUUGAGUUGAGUAUUGUUAUCAACGGCGCGCAAGGUGCACCAGGUGCAACCCAUAGUGCCUGAUGGGUUGCGCAACCCAGGCGCUAAGCGCGCCUCACGAAGGCCAUCCAUGCCAAUACAAUCGCUGAAAGCAAAUUGAAAAAUGGAGGAGGAGGAGGAGAAGAAAAAGUAGGUAAAUGGGGCUUGUAAUUGUGAAUUUGGGAUUGCGAA